UACGGGGGGGAGCAAGCGGUUGUUCGGAUUUACUGGGCGUAAAGGGCGCGUAGGCGGCACCGCAAGUCGACUGUGAAAUCUCCGGGCUUAACUCGGAAAGGUCAGCCGAUACUGCGGGGCUAGAGUGCAGAAGGGGCAACUGGGAAUUCUCGGUGUAGCGGUGAAAUGCGUAGAUAUCGAGAGGAACACCUGCGGCGAAGGCGGGUUGCUGGGCUGACACUGACGCUGAUGA
rnacentral:rRNA from 1 species